AGAGUUCGAUCCUGGCUCAGGAUGAACGCUGGCGGCGCGCCUAACACAUGCAAGUCGAACGGCACCCCUCUCCGGAGGGAAGCGAGUGGCGAACGGCUGAGUAACACGUGGAGAACCUGCCCCCUCCCCCGGGAUAGCCGCCCGAAAGGACGGGUAAUACCGGAUACCCCGGGGUGCCGCAUGGCACCCCGGCUAAAGCCCCGACGGGAGGGGAUGGCUCCGCGGCCCAUCAGGUAGACGGCGGGGUGACGGCCCACCGUGCCGACAACGGGUAGCCGGGUUGAGAGACCGACCGGCCAGAUUGGGACUGAGACACGGCCCAGACUCCUACGGGAGGCAGCAGUGGGGAAUCUUGCGCAAUGGGGGGAACCCUGACGCAGCGACGCCGCGUGCGGGACGGAGGCCUUCGGGUCGUAAACCGCUUUCAGCAGGGAAGAGUCAAGACUGUACCUGCAGAAGAAGCCCCGGCUAACUACGUGCCAGCAGCCGCGGUAAUACGUAGGGGGCGAGCGUUAUCCGGAUUCAUUGGGCGUAAAGCGCGCGUAGGCGGCCCGGCAGGCCGGGGGUCGAAGCGGGGGGCUCAACCCCCCGAAGCCCCCGGAACCUCCGCGGCUUGGGUCCGGUAGGGGAGGGUGGAACACCCGGUGUAGCGGUGGAAUGCGCAGAUAUCGGGUGGAACACCGGUGGCGAAGGCGGCCCUCUGGGCCGAGACCGACGCUGAGGCGCGAAAGCUGGGGGAGCGAACAGGAUUAGAUACCCUGGUAGUCCCAGCCGUAAACGAUGGACGCUAGGUGUGGGGGGACGAUCCCCCCGUGCCGCAGCCAACGCAUUAAGCGUCCCGCCUGGGGAGUACGGCCGCAAGGCUAAAACUCAAAGGAAUUGACGGGGGCCCGCACAAGCAGCGGAGCAUGUGGCUUAAUUCGA
rnacentral:rRNA from 1 species